GCGAUGAACCAGGCUGCCGCUUUAGGUUCGCCAAUGCGCGAAUCUAAGGAGGAAAGUCCGGGCUCCGCAGGGCAUGAUGCCGGGUAACGCCCGGGACCCGGAAACGGGGACAGACAGCGCCACAGAAAACAAACCGCCUGACCGCUAAAAAUGCUGAACAUUGAUUUUUCUUAGGCCUUUUUGGCAUUUUUAGUGGUCAGGUAAGGGUGAAAAGGCGGGGUAAGAGCCCACCUCGGCAUUGGCAACAGUGUCGGUAAGAUUCCGGUUUUGCCGGAAAAAGGCAAGCCUCAUCAGGAGCAAAGUCAAAUAUGCGCGGGUAAACGGCUUUUCAGCCAUUUAUCGCCGGCUGCCCGCCGGUUAAGCGCGGGUAGACUGCUAAAAGGAGCCGGGAACCCCCGCUGAGCCGCAAGGCGGCGAAGGUUCCCCUCCGGUAACGGCUUUUUUAGACAGAUGGCAGCGUCCGGCUUUGGCCGGAAACAGAACCCGGCUUACGGUUCAUCGUGUUU
rnacentral:RNase_P_RNA from 1 species